GGCCGUCUAGCUCAACGGUAGAGUCCCCGCUGAAAGUGAUGCAGUGAGCUUUAUCCUCGGGUUAUUGCGGGUUCGAGUCUCGCAGCGGCCC